CAUAUCAAUAAGCGGAGGAAAAGAAACUAACAAGGAUUCCCCUAGUAACUGCGAGUGAAGCGGGAAAAGCUCAAAUUUAAAAUCUGGCAGCCCUCUGGCUGUCCGAGUUGUAAUCUAGAGAAGUGUUAUCCGCGCUGGACCGUGUACAAGUCUCCUGGAAUGGAGCGUCAUAGAGGGUGAGAAUCCCGUCUUUGACACGGACUGCCAGGGCUCUGUGAUGCGCUCUCUAAGAGUCGAGUUGUUUGGGAAUGCAGCUCAAAAUGGGUGGUAAAUUCCAUCUAAAGCUAAAUAUUGGCGAGAGACCGAUAGCGAACAAGUACCGUGAGGGAAAGAUGAAAAGAACUUUGGAAAGAGAGUUAAACAGUACGUGAAAUUGCUGAAAGGGAAACGCUUGAAGUCAGUCGCGUUGGCCAGGGAUCAACCUUGCUUUUGCUUGGUGUACUUUCUGGUUGACGGGUCAGCAUUAAUUUUGAUCAUUGGAAAAAGAUUAGGGGAAUGUGGCAUCUUCGGAUGUGUUAUAGCCCUUGGUUGCAUACAAUGGUUGGGAUUGAGGAACUCAGCACGCCGCAAGGCCGGGUUUUUAACCACGUACGUGCUUAGGAUGCUGGCAUAAUGGCUUUAAUCGACCCGUCUUGAAACACGGACCAAGGAGUCUAACAUGCCUGCGAGUGUUUGGGUGGAAAACCCGAGCGCGCAAUGAAAGUGAAAGUUGAGAUCCCUGUCGUGGGGAGCAUUGACGCCCGGACCAGACCUUUUGUGACGGUUCUGCGGUAGAGCAUGUAUGUUGGGACCCGAAAGAUGGUGAACUAUGCCUGAAUAGGGUGAAGCCAGAGGAAACUCUGGUGGAGGCUCGUAGCGAUUCUGACGUGCAAAUCGAUCGUCAAAUUUGGGUAUAGGGGCGAAAGACUAAUCGAACCAUCUAGUAGCUGGUUCCUGCC
rnacentral:rRNA from 1 species